rnacentral:lncRNA from 1 species
CAACAGAGCAUUUUUCAUAAUCAAAGGUCACACUUAAAAAUCUUACAUCGAGAAAAAUUCACAAAAAGCCAGAAAAAUGAACUUCAUUAAGAAAACAUUACAGGAUGAAUGACAAAAUCCUAAACGCUGAUGAGCAAUGAAAAAUUGAAAAGAAAUACUCAAAUCAUAGUUAGUCAGUCAGCAAUGUUCUAUCUUCUUAGCCUAAUGAUAAAAAAAGCCAUAGUUGGUUUGCAAGUAGCGGCGAUGAUGCAACACUUGGCCGCUACGUGUGACCAAGCAGCAACGUCAUAGACAAGAUAUGAUAGGGCCACUCGCAGCAUAACCUCCUCCAAAAGCAUCUCCACUCACAGCCAAAGCCAAAGCGACAGCCAUGGCCUAGAUUUGAUCCUUUUACCGAUCGGGAAGAAGAGUGGUAGAGGUGGGUAGGUAGCGAGGGGUAUAGAUAGAGAGAAUGAUGAAGAUAGG